rnacentral:rRNA from 1 species
GACGAACGCUGGCGGCGUGCUUAACACAUGCAAGUCGAACGGUGAAGCGCCUUCCUUUUUGGUGGGUGUGGAUGAGUGGCGAACGGGUGAGUAACACGUUAGUAACCUGCCCCCUUCUUCUGGAUAACCGCAUGAAAGUGUUGCUAAUACGGGAUAUUCUGGGUCUGUCGCAUGAUGGGUCUGGGAAAGAUAUUGUUUCGGUGGGGGAUGGGCCCGCGGCCUAUCAGCUUGUUGGUGGGGUGAUGGCCUACCAAGGCGGUGAGGGGUAGCCGGCCUGAGAGGGUCGACGGCACCACUGGGACUGCGACACGGACCAGACUCCUACGGGAGGCAGCAGGGGGGAAUAUUGCACAAUCGGCGGCAGCCUGAUGCAGCGACGCCGCGGGAGGGAUGGAGGCCUUCGGGUUGUGAACCUCUUUCGCCAGUGAAGCAGGCCUGCCUCGUUUGUGGGUGGGUUGACGGUAGCUGGAUAAGAAGCGCCGGCUAACUACGUG